rnacentral:rRNA from 1 species
AAAAAGGGUGGUAAUGCCGGAUGCUCCGGUUGGAUGCAUGUCCUUCCGGGAAAGAUUCUAUCGGUAUGGGAUGGGGUCGCGUCCUAUCAGCUUGAUGGCGGGGUAACGGCCCACCAUGGCUUCGACGGGUAGCCGGCCUGAGAGGGCGACCGGCCACAUUGGGACUGAGAUACGGCCCAGACUCCUACGGGAGGCAGCAGUGGGGAAUAUUGCACAAUGGGCGCAAGCCUGAUGCAGCGACGCCGCGUGCGGGAUGGAGGCCUUCGGGUUGUAAACCGCUUUUGAUCGGGAGCAAGCCCUUCGGGGUGAGUGUACCUUUCGAAUAAGCACCGGCUAACUACGUGCCAGCAGCCGCGGUAAUACGUAGGGUGCAAGCGUUAUCCGGAAUUAUUGGGCGUAAAGGGCUCGUAGGCGGUUCGUCGCGUCCGGUGUGAAAGCCCAUCGCUUAACGGUGGGUCUGCGCCGGGUACGGGCGGGCUGGAGUGCGGUAGGGGAGACUGGAAUUCCCGGUGUAACGGUGGAAUGUGUAGAUAUCG